rnacentral:rRNA from 1 species
UACGUAGGGUGCGAGCGUUGUCCGGAAUUACUGGGCGUAAAGAGCUCGUAGGUGGUUUGUCGCGUUGUUCGUGAAAACUCACAGCUCAACUGUGGGCGUGCGGGCGAUACGGGCAGACUGGAGUACUGCAGGGGAGACUGGAAGUUCCUGGUGUAGCGGUGGAAUGCGCAGGAUAUCAGGAGGAACACCGGUGGCGAAGGCGGCAUCCUGGACCGACAUUGACGCUGAGGCGCGAAAGCCAGGGGAGCAAACGGGA